GACGAACGCUGGCGGCGUGCUUAACACAUGCAAGUCGAACGGAAAGGCCCUGCUUGCAGGGUACUCGAGUGGCGAACGGGUGAGUAACACGUGGGUGAUCUGCCCUGCACUUCGGGAUAAGCCUGGGAAGCUGGGUCUAAUACCGGAUAGGAGCCAUUUUUAGUGUGAUGGUUGGAAAGUUUUUUCGGUGUAGGAUGAGCUCGCGGCCUAUCAGCUUGUUGGUGGGGUAAUGGCCUACCAAGGCGGCGACGGGUAGCCGGCCUGAGAGGGUGGACGGCCACAUUGGGACUGAGAUACGGCCCAGACUCCUACGGGAGGCAGCAGUGGGGAAUAUUGCACAAUGGGCGCAAGCCUGAUGCAGCGACGCCGCGUGGGGGAUGACGGCCUUCGGGCUGUAAACUCCUUUCGCUAGGGACGAAGCUUUUUGUGACGGUACCUAGAUAAGAAGCACCGGCUAACUACGUG
rnacentral:rRNA from 1 species